GGCCAGAUAAGGCGUUCACGCCGCAUCUGGCAUUUGGCAUCUCGAUGCCUGAUGCGACGCUGGCGCGUCUUAUCAUGCC
rnacentral:ncRNA from 1 species